UACGGGGGGGGCAAGCGUUGUUCGGAAUUACUGGGCGUAAAGGGCUCGUAGGCGGCCAACUAAGUCAGACGUGAAAUCCCUCGGCUUAACCGGGGAACUGCGUCUGAUACUGGAUAGCUUGAAUCCGGGAGAGGGAUGCGGAAUUCCAGGUGUAGCGGUGAAAUGCGUAGAUAUCUGGAGGAACACCGGUGGCGAAGGCGGCAUCCUGGACCGGCAUUGACGCUGAGGAGCGAAAGCCAGGGGAGCAAACGGG
rnacentral:rRNA from 1 species